GGUGGCUCAGUGGUAGAGUGCUUGCCUUGCAUGCAUGAGGCCCUAGGUUCAAUUCUAUAGCACCA
rnacentral:tRNA from 1 species